CGCGCCACCAGUCUCCGCUCUCCUUCCUCCGUCUUGGCCCCGCCGAGCCGUGUGCUUCGUCGCCGGCCUCUGCCUCCUCCGUCUGUGUCGCCAGGCGUGCCUCGCCUGCUCUCUGUCGGUCGUGGCUCCCCUGCGUCUGUCUCUGUCGUCCGAAGCUCUGCGUGCGGCCUCCUCUCCUCUACGGGCAACUCUCCUCGCCGGUGGCCUGGCCUCUGCAACCCCAGGUCCGCAACCCGUCCCUGACUCUGCGUCUGCUUCUGCAGUCCGUGUAGUAACCAGCGAUCCAGAAGUUUGACCGGUUCUAUUACGGGUUUGGUUCUGAUAACUAUGGUUUGAGGCUCCAUUGACACCUGUGUAGAAAGUAGAAACUCGUUCCUCUUACCAUUCUCUAAUCAGAUUACCAAGAUAGUGUGUGUGUGUGUGGAGACCUAGCAUUUCUACCAAAGAAGACAAGGGCCCCAUCAUGAGGGAAGUGUUAGGGCAAUUCAGGAGGCUAGGGGCUGUCCGGAGCUACGCAAAGCACCUUCGCAUUCCUGGAAUCAAGGAUACCAUUGCCGUCGCCUCCGGUAAAGGCGGUGUCGGAAAGUCUACUACUGCUGUUAAUUUAGCUGUAGCACUUGCAAGUAAAUGCCAACUGAAGGUUGGUUUGCUUGAUGCUGAUGUAUAUGGACCGAAUAUCCCCACUAUGAUGAACAUCAACAGAAAACCUGAUGUCACUGAAGAUAAGAAAAUGAUUCCCAUUGAAAAUUAUGGGAUCAAGUGUAUGUCAAUAGGGUUCCUUGUCGAGAAGUAUGCCCCAAUUGUAUGGAGAGGUCCCAUGGUAACAAAUGCUCUUGAGAAAAUGACAAGGGGAGUUGACUGGGGAAACCUUGAUGUUUUAGUGAUGGAUUUGCCUCCUGGGACUGGUGAUGUCCAGAUAGCUAUGUCUCAGAAUCUGCAAUUAUCAGGUGCACUGAUUGUUUCAACUCCUCAAGAUGUUGCAUUAAUGGAUGCCAGGAGGGGUGUAAAAAUGUUCAAUAAAGUUGAUGUUCCGAUUUUGGGAAUUGUAGAGAACAUGAGCUGCUUUAAGUGUCCACAUUGUGGUGAACCAUCGUAUAUAUUUGGUAAAGGAGGGGCUCCUAAGGCAGCCAGUGAAAUGGGGUUAGAAUUUUUAGGCGAGGAUUUAUGAUGCGUCCAUGUUUAACUAAAAUUUUCAAGCCAAAAUUAAAUGAGGAAGACAUAGAGAAAGUGAAGUUAAUAAUCGCUUGGAUACCACUCGAAAUGGAGAUCAGAGAGGCGUGUGAUCAAGGGCACCCCAUAGUUUUGGCUGCCCCUGAUUCUGUGGUUUCCAGAGCAUAUGGCGAUUUAGCUGAAAAAGUUGUUCAGAAACUUAAGGAACAGCAGUUCAAACCAGAGAUUAUAUUAUGAAAUGCUGUCCUUCACCACAAUAUCUCUGUCAACCUGUGAGCGACAUUAUCUGGCACGCCCACAUUUUCAUUCAAGAAAGGAGCCCCUAGCCGUUCGCCAUGACAGCUAAAAAAUGUGGCAUUUGACAAAUCUUACAAUGUGUUAAAAGUUUAAAGUUUGGAUGAGAUACAGGUUAGGCUUAUGAUUUAUAUUUUGUAGGUUCCAGCAUCUCCAUAAAUAUUGUGAAAUUAGAUGUGAAUGUUUCUUUGACCUCACAUAACACAGGUGCUGUUUAAGUUGUCAUUUUUAUGUAAUUUUUCUGUAGAAGAAAAAUAAGCAGUUUUAUCACACUGUAAUGAUGAGGCUACAGAGUUUUGUUUAUUCACGAGUCUCUCUUGAUAAGCCUUUGCCUAUUUUGUCUGUUUUUGGUGAUUGAUUUUUUAUUUGAUGCAUUGUAGGAGAAUUGUCUUUAGCAUCAUCUUGUAAAGAGAAGGCAAUUAUGCCAUGGAUAUUCUUGACCUUAUAGAUAUGAUUCCUUUUAGUGUAGGUCA